GUGGGACACGGGCGGUGCCCGGCCGGGAGCGCGACGGCAACCUGGAGGGGAUCGGCUGGUCCCAGUCCCGGUUCCAAUCCCGGUCCCGGUCCCUAUCCCGCGGUGCAGCGGGACGGGCCGAGCGCCAUGGUGUGAGACCAGGUCCUGUCUGAGCACUGAGAGCUUCCAGCUUCAGCAUGUGGAUCCAGAGGGGAUUGUCUUGGAGCAGUGCUUUGCUCUGGAGAAGCAGAUCACACCGGAGGAGAGGUGCUGAGAGGUGACAGAGCUCAUCCCCCUGUGUGAUGUUCAGCCAGGGAUGAGAUCCCAGCUGUGCUCUGAGGAAGGUGAUGACAAGCACUCCAACCCCAAAGCUCAGUGGUGUCUGCAAAGCCAACCCAAAUAUCCUGGGAGCUUUAAUGCAUUGGAAACUUGUUAUAGCAGCUUCCUGCGUGGGCUUUGACAGCAUAAUAAAAUAUUAAUACUGAUUGUAA